rnacentral:rRNA from 1 species
CAGAACGAACGCUGGCGGCGCGUUUAAGCAUGCAAGUCGAGCGGCAAGGGCCUCGGGCCCCUAGAGCGGCGAACGGGUGAGUAACACGUGGGUAACCUGCCCAUAAGAGGGGGAUAACAUCCGGAAACGGGUGCUAAUACCGCAUAGUUUUCUUGAUCGCAUGAUCGGGAAAGGAAAGACGGCCUUUGUGCUGUCGCUUAUGGAUGGACCCGCGGCGUAUUAGUUAGUUGGUGAGGUAACGGCUCACCAAGACGAUGAUACGUAGCCGACCUGAGAGGGUGAUCGGCCACAUUGGGACUGAGACACGGCCCAAACUCCUACGGGAGGCAGCAGUAGGGAAUCUUCCGCAAUGGACGAAAGUCUGACGGAGCAACGCCGCGUGAGUGAAGAAAGGUUUUCGGAUCGUAAAACUCUGUUGUCAGAGAAGAACAAGUUGGAGAGUAACUGCUCCAGCCUUGACGGUAUCUGACCAGAAAGCCACGGCUAACUACGUGCCAGCAGCCGC